rnacentral:rRNA from 1 species
CCUACGGGAGGCAGCAGUGGGGAAUAUUGCACAAUGGGGGAAACCCUGAUGCAGCGACGCCGCGUGAGUGAAGAAGUAUUUCGGUAUGUAAAGCUCUAUCAGCAGGGAAGAAAAUGACGGUACCUGAUUCAGAAGCCCCGGCUAACUACGUGCCAGCAGCCGCGGUAAUACGUAGGGGGCAAGCGUUAUCCGGAUUUACUGGGUGUAAAGGGAGCGUAGACGGCAGCACAAGUCUGGAGGGAAAUGCCGGGGCUUAACCCCGGAACUGCUUUGGAAACUGUGCAGCUAGAGUGCAGGAGAGGUAAGUGGAAUUCCUAGUGUAGCGGUGAAAUGCGUAGAUAUUAGGAGGAACACCAGUGGCGAAGGCGGCUUACUGGACUGUAACUGACGUUGAGGCUCGAAAGCGUGGGGAGCAAACAGGAUUAGAUACCCGGGUAGUC